UACGUAGGGCGCAAGCGUUGUCCGGAAUUAUUGGGCGUAAAGAGCUCGUAGGCGGUCUGUCGCGUCGGCUGUGAAAACCCGGAGCUCAACUCCGGGCCUGCAGUCGAUACGGGCAAACUGGAGUGUUGCAGGGGAGACUGGAAUCCUGGUGUAGCGGUGAAAUGCGCAGAUAUCAGGAGGAACACCGGUGGCGAAGGCGGGUCGCUGGGCCGAUACUGACGCUGAGACACGAAAGCGUGGGUAGCAAACAGG
rnacentral:rRNA from 1 species